rnacentral:rRNA from 1 species
CCUACGGGCGGCAGCAGUGGGGAAUAUUGGGCAAUGGGCGCAAGCCUGACCCAGCACCGCCGCGUGAAGGAAGAAGGCUUUCGGGUUGUAAACUUCUUUUGUCAGGGACGAAGCAAGUGACGGUACCUGACGAAUAAGCCACGGCUUACUACGUGCCAUCAGCCGCGGUAAUACGUAGGUAGCAAGCGUUAUCCGGAUUUAUUGGGGGUAAAGGGCGUGUAGGCGGGAAUGCAAGUCAUAUGUGAAAACUAUGGGCUCAACCCAUAGCCUGCAUUUGAAACUGUAUUUCUUGAGUGCUGGAGAGGCAAUCGGAAUUCCGUGUGUAGCGGUGAAAUGCGUAGAUAUACGGAGGAACACCAGUGGCGAAGGCGGAUUGCUGGACAGUAACUGACGCUGAGGCGCGAAAGCGUGGGGAGCAAACAGGAUUAGAUACCCGGGUAGUC